rnacentral:rRNA from 1 species
CACGUAGGCGGAUUGGAAAGUCGGUUGUGAAAUCCCGGAGCUCAACUCCGGAACUGCUUCCGAAACUUCCAGUCUGGAGGACGAGAGGGGAGAGUGGAACUUCUGGUGGAGCGGUGAAAUGCGUAGAUAUCAGGAGGAACACCGGUGGCGAAAGCGACUCUCUGGCUCGUUUCUGACGCUAAGGUGCGAAAGCUUGGGUAGCAAACG